GUUUGAUGGCUGUGUAGAGGAGGAGAAAGAGUCAGUGCUGUGAGGAGCUGCCCAUGAGAUAUCACUGAGAAGGAAUGGGGAUCCAGCUGUGCUUCUCCUCGCUGACUUCCUGGCUGUGGUGGGAGUUCUGCUUGGGCAGGACUGGCCAGCACACCUGAUAGGCAAGAGAGAGGGGUUUGAGCAAAUGUGGGAGUUCAGAGUUGUAUCAGCCAUCAGAGGACAUAACAAGAAUUCAAGUCUAGUCCUUCACCUCAGACAAAAUGGUUUUGUGUGGUACAGCUUACAGCCCUGGGAAGAGGCGGAUCUUUCAAUGCAGAACUCUGAAUUAAGACAGCAAGGACACCAGGUACUUACCCAAAUCCAAUUUAAGAGCUGUAAAGUCACAACAUUAUUUUCAUAAGAGCUACUGUGCCUGUGCAUGUCCAGCAGUGGAGAUGUUUUAACAUUAAAACUGUGAUGGGAAACAUGGUAGCUGCUCAAGGUGUAAGAGAGAAGACAAUCACAGUGUAAGCAGCAACAUAAUCUCAUCCAGCCAGAGGAAAAACACUUAAGUACUGUUAUGGCUUGCAUUUUUACUGGAAAUUUAAGUUUUCUUUCUCCAUUGGAGCAGACAAUAGCAGCAAGGAUUUCCUUAAAAGUCGCAACAAAAGAUAAGAGCAUAGGCAGAGGUACGCUGUUAGGGAGUAUCUCUGAUGUUUUUACAGAGGAAAUAAGGAUGAGUGGCCAGAUCAGGCUGUUCUCUUGGUUCUCCACAUCAAACACAAUUGGAUAAAGCAGAAUUUCUGGAAACUAUUCAGGGGGAAAGGCAAUAUUAACAUAAUAGUUACCUAAAUAAAACUUUGUAGAGUAAUUGAGUUGAACUGUACAGUGAGGAAUCACAGAAUUUGGAAAUGCUCUUGUCCACAGCAUAAAGGGUGUACUCUGCAGUGUUGGUUAGGCCAAAAUCUGCUCUACCCUAUUCUUUUACUUGGGUAGUGAAAGACAGUAUUGUCUAAAACCAGCAUUUGCUCUCUGAACAAAGAUUGCAAUACAAAAGUAAGCAUCAUGUGAUCCCAGUUCUAUAAGGUAGCUGCAGCUGAUGGAUCUGAGAUUUUUCCUUUUUUUAGGUAUUUCACUUCACAGUCAUGUUUUGGUUCCCUGAUGGAAUUUCAGAGAUCUAAGGGGCACAUUGCUUAAGAGCAUUUAGGGACAUACUCCUGAAUUGAAGCAAGGGAAGAGUCAGUCAUAUCACUUUCUCCAGCAAUCCUCUCAAAGUUAACUUCAUUGUUUAGCUGGACAUAAAAGUAAAUUAUCUAUAACAGAACAGUAAGUGACGUUUAUUUUAAGUUUAAAUAGUACUUCUAUUUUAUCUAGGCAAAAUGCUGCCACUGUUUCAAACACCAUGAUCAUUCAUGUGUGGUAUGCAAGUAGCAGGAAUGGCCAUGUUGGGUCAUCUCUGAAUUCAGUUUUGUGUGACAGAGGCCAGUGCAGAGGUUUCAGAAGAAUGGGUAUGAAAUCAUACAGUAGGUAGAAGUUAAAUACUCCCCAAUCUUUUCUCAUAUUUAUCAUCUGUGCUACCUUUCAAAAUGUGUUGUGAUAAGACCAAGUAUUCCUGAUAUCCUUACAGUUAUUUCAGUCUUCAUUAAACUGUUAACCUUAGCAGUUUCUUGCAGUGAUAAUUGCCUAGACAGAUGUGAAUAAAGUGAAUCCUUUCACUACUUUUUUUUACUUUCAGCCUCCUCAUUAAUGACCCCAGAUGUUCUUGUUCUUCCAAAGAGAGGGGAACAGAAGUUCCCAGUUUUCAUCUUAGCAACAUUCAUUACUCUUUAUAUUUGUUUUCUUUACAAAACAAGCAUUCUUAACUUUUUUCCUUCUCCUUAUCUAGAACUUUUCUGUGGCCACUUUUAUCAAUGUUCCCUCUCGCCCGUGUUAUUGUGCUUAGUUAUUGAAACCACACUGAUGGUUUGUUUUAAGGGGCAAUAAUAUUUGUUCUUUACCAUUUCUCAAAUAUUUCCAAAUUUAGGCUCAGUCUCCAGCUAUAGAUUGAAUGAAGAACUUGAUUUAGCUGUCCAGAUGCCCUGGUCUGUGCUAUCAGCUGAUAAAAUUAAUUAGAAACCCAACAAAAUAAAAGCAGGAGUUUUUUUUCUGUGCUUUUUAAAAUUACUUUUUGCUGCUACUUCUGUCAAAGCUAAUCAUCAUUUGGCAAUGUUACACAUUUUCCUUGCCUGUUACAGCUCUUUGAAUUUCCUGAAACCAUAGUCUUACCUAAUCUGAUUAAAUGAAACCUCAGUGCAUCACAUUUUGCCAUGUCCUCUUGGAUCUUAUAACCAUUUUACUU